GGAGGGAUCGCAUAGUGGUCUAGUGCGGGCGCCUGCUAAGCGCUUGCCUCGGGUAACCGGGGUCGGGAGUUCGAAUCUCCCUCCCUCCG
rnacentral:tRNA from 1 species